UGACAGAGUGUGCCAGAGACUGAAGGGAUGGAAAGAAAAGACUUUAUCAAUGCAAGGUAAAGAGAUUCUCCUGAAAUCUGUGGUGCAGUUCCAUCAUAUGCUAUGUCUGUGUUUAAGUUACCGAAAGGGAUAUGUAAAUCAAUCACUGAUGAAAUAUCGGGUUUCUGGUGGGGUACGUCAUUACGCAAUCACAUUCAGUUGACACAUACCAUACCAACAGCCGAAUUUAUUUUGGUGGCCAUGUGGUUCAUUUGGUGGCAAAGAAGGCAACGUACAAGAGGGGAGACAGUACAAACACCGAAUCAAACAACUAUUUCUAUUCAAGUACUUGCCACAAAUUUUGUUCGUGCUCAUUCACCAAACCAGCC
rnacentral:lncRNA from 1 species